UUAUCUCCCAGAGCUGGUACUGAUAAAUGAUGUACAACACCAGUGAAUGCUGAGGCACAGCCAAGCAGAGAAAAGGGUAUCUAGGAGGAAUUCCUUCACAGAAAGAGGCAACUCAUUAAAUGAAGAGAACAGAUUAAGAUUGAUUGAAGGAACGGUUCAGCAUGAAUUCCUCUGUAUUGCUAUGUCUCAUGGUGAUGCUGGUUCAACUUUGGCCUUGUUCUCCCAGCAUGCAGAAUUCCAGUGCUCAGAACACAGUUCAGCCUUUCACAGCAGCUCGAAGAGUGAAACGUGGCUGGCUGUGGGAGCCUCUUUUUGCAACUGAGGAGCAGAUUUCACCAGAUCCUGUGUAUGUUGGACAGCUGAAAUCAGAUUUAGACAAGCAGGAUGGCAACUUACAAUACAUUUUGACUGGGGAGGGAGCUGGAAGCCUUUUUUUCAUCAAUGACUCUAACGGCAAAAUUUAUGUAAAACAAAAGCUGGACCGAGAAAAGAAACCUUUCUACACUCUAAGAGCACAAGCAAUUAACAGGAGCACUGGGCUUCCUGUGGAACCUGAAUCAGAAUUUAUCAUCAAGGUUCGAGAUGUCAAUGACAAUGAACCACAGUUCUUGGAUGGACCUUAUCUGGCCACUGUUCCAGAGAUGUCACCUGAAGGUACUUCGGUUACACAGGUAACAGCUACAGAUGCUGAUGAUCCUUCUUAUGGGAAUAGUGCUCGUCUGCUUUACAGUCUCAUUCAGGGACAGCCUUAUUUCUCUGUGGAGCCAAAAACAGGGGUCAUUAGAAUGGCUUCUCAAAUGGAUAGAGAAACAAAAGAUCAGUAUUUGGUCAUCAUUCAAGCCAAAGACAUGGUUGGGCAGCCAGGAGCAUUUUCUGCAACAGCCACUGUUACCAUCAACCUUUCUGAUAUCAACGACAAUCCACCUAAAUUUCAACAGCGGCUUUACUACAUGAGUGUUUCUGAAGAGGCUCCCGUGGGCACCACCAUAGGCAAAGUCUUUGCAGAAGACAGCGACAUUGGGGAGAAUGCAGCCAUGGACUAUUUCAUUGAAACAGAUAGCCCAGAUGUUUUUAACAUCAUUACUAACAAUGAGACUCAAGAAGGUAUUAUCUUACUAAACAAGAGAGUGGAUUAUGAGAGUAAAAGGAGAUACAGUAUUCAAGUAAAAGCUGUAAACAGAUACAUUGAUCAGCGUUUUUUGAAAGAAGGACCAUUUGAAGACACAACCAUUGUCAAAAUCAAUGUGGAAGAUGCUGAUGAACCUCCAGUUUUCACCUUGGAGAACUAUGUGAUGGAGAUUGUUGAAGGAGCUAUGAUUGGCGCACUGGUGGGGGUUGUAACUGCUAGAGAUCCAGAUAAUGAUGACAGUCCAAUCAGGUACUCUAUUGUCCACAGCACGCAUUUAAAGAGACUGUUCAGCAUCAAUGAACACAAUGGAGCAAUCAUUACCACUGAACCUCUGGACCGAGAGAUAGCUUCUUGGCACAAUGUAACUGUUACAGCUACAGAAACAAGAAAUCCUGAAAAAAUUUCAGAAGCAAACGUGUAUAUCCAAGUUCUCGAUGUCAAUGAUAAUGCACCAGAAUUCCCUAAAAAUUAUGAAACAUUUGUUUGUGAAAAUGCAGUUUCUGGACAGCUAAUUCAAAACAUCAGUGCAGUGGAUCAAGAUGACCCAGCAGAAGGUCACCAUUUUUAUUUCUCAUUGGCUCAGGAGGACGCAAACAGCUCACAUUUUAUUGUCAAAGACAAUCAAGAUAACACAGCUGGAAUUUUCACAGGAAAAAGUGGCUUCAGGAGGCAAGAGCAGUUUUUUUUCUACUUGCCAAUCUUAAUUGAGGAUAAUGGAACCCCACCUCUGACGAGCACAAAUACUCUCACUGUCACUCUCUGCGACUGCGACACUGAAGUUAACACCUUCUACUGUAGAUACGGAGCUUUCAUGUAUUCCUUGGGUCUGAGCACAGAGGCUUUAGUUGCUGUUUUGGCUUGCAUAUUAAUAUUCUUAGUGUUCUUUUUGGCAAUUGUAGCCAUAAGACAGCAGCAACAGGAGAAGAAACCUCCCUUUUCAGAGAAGAUGGAAGAAUUCAGAGAGAACAUUGUCAGUUAUGACGAUGAAGGAGGGGGCGAGGAGGACACAGAAGCCUUUGAUAUUUCAGCACUGAGGACACGUACUGUCAUGCGAACACACAAACCUCGGAAGAAGGUGGCCUCCGAAAUCCAGAGCCUCUACAGACAGUCUCUGCAGGUUGGCCCAGACAGUGCAAUCUUCAGGCAAUUCAUUUCAGAAAAGCUUGAAGAAGCAAAUACAGAUCCUAGCGUUCCUCCCUAUGACUCACUUCAGACCUAUGCAUUUGAGGGGACCGGCUCCUUGGCAGGAUCCCUCAGCUCAUUGGGUUCAAACACAUCAGACAUGGAUCAGAGCUAUGACUACCUUGCAGAGUGGGGACCUCACUUUAAACAGCUUGCAGGCAUGUACUCUUCCCAUAAAACUCUGGGGGAUUAGGCACUCUUGGAAUUGCUCUUUUGUUUUCCUAAGUCUCAGCAACCAAAAGCAACUGUGGAUCUUUAGAAAGGAGCUCAUCCCACAUUAAAAAUGGAAAUAAGAGCCAAGGGUUUUAAUAUGAUUUUAGGUAAGUGCAACUGAAUUACAGUCAGGAAAGCUUUUGUAAAGAAGAAACAAACAAAUAAACCAGCCCCAACAAACAAAUUCUGCAAUGUUUACUACAGAUGCUCAUGACUGAAGAAAACCAAGGUAUGUAGGCUAAGUGGAAAAGUACCAGUGCAAAGUUUAAAUUCCUGGUACCUAAAAAUAAAAGAUGGAGGUGUUUGAAAAUCAGAAGAAAUUUCCAGUGUGAGGCCUGGUAAGGAUGGAAAUAUUAUUCAUUAUAUUCAUAGCUGGAAAAUUAUGGGUAGGGGGGCAAGGGGGCAGAGUGACCAUCUGACCAGGUACAGAUGAAACAGCACCUGCUUCAUAAGAAAAACAAAUUAUUCUUGUCAGUCUCAUGGUAGGAUGCCAGUGUGAAUGAGCAGCUACAAAUGAGUUUUAAAAGAUGGACAAAUGAAAACAUUGUGUUGAUGACUCUAACCUUUUACUCCUAUGGCUUUUAAACAGAUGUGGUAAAAUCACUUAUAUUUGAGAAAAUAUUUUACAUAUUAAUAUUUUUUCUCCACAGAGAGGACUAGAGAAAGAGAGAACUAUACACUGCUGGUUGUUGACAAUAGUGAAAACUUCAUGUUUAGGAUUAGGUCUAUAGAUUUAUGUGGGUUAUACCCUAAACAAAUCCUUAUUCCACAGAUGGUCACAGUGGUUUUAAGGGAAUUCUUUGUGCUUUCAGGUUGUAUUUAGUACAAAAAGGAUAACAGUGUCUGAUCCAUUCUCAAUCCAGAGAUUUUGUCCAUUUAUGUGGGAAAAUAGCCUUGAACACUAAACCAUUGUGUUUAUAAUAUUCUCUCCUUACUGUGAGGUAUUUUAACAAUAAAUAAUUUUUUAUAAGUAGUGCAUGCCACUAGCACAGUUUUUGUAACUUGUGUAGAUCAUUGUCAGUAAUUUCUGUGUGAAAAAGAAUAAUGACCUGCAGUGGAUCUUAAAUGGUCUUUGGCUGAGAAAGCCUUAGAUCAUGUUUACAUAGCAGAGAAAGGGCAUGUUUUUCUCUGAAACAAGAUGUCAUUCCUAGCUGUUACUGGACCACACUUUAUAAGGUUCCUGGUAUUCAAUCUAAUCCAGCCUUGUCAAUUUAUUUCCACAUGUGAGAAAAGAACCACUGAAUUUACUUAGUAACUUCACACUUCCUUUAAGU